ACUAAUUUUUCACUUUUCGUCUUAUUAAAAAAAUUUACGAUUAAUAUUUUUGUUUUUAUUAGAUGAUAAAUCAUGAAUAAUACUUUAUGUGUGACUAAUUUUUUUCUAAUUUUUUAAAAAAAUUUAAAUAAAACGAAUGGUCAAACGUCGAACACGAAAACCGAAG
rnacentral:pre_miRNA from 1 species